UGCAGCUCGACUCUACCCCGCCGCUUCUGCUCAGGCUCCUGGCUGGCAGGGCCCCAGCUCCGCCGCCGCCUCCCCAGCGCCCUGCCUGUUCCUCUCCUGUGCUUAGCACGUUCUGUUUCGCGGUGCAGUUAUUUCUGUACCUGUCUUCCUCUGUCAGUGUGCACGUCUGAAUUUGUCACACUGCCUAGCACACAGCCUGGGGGAGGAGGCUCCGCAGUCAGCGAUCAAUACAGUUGUUAUGUAACGAACAGAUGAAGGCGUGGAUGUCUGUCAGAAAUGGGGGUACGAUCCGAAGACAUCAGGCCUGGAAGAGGCUUCCAGGAGACACCUGAGGAGACUCAGGACCAGCGUGAGCCAGAUUAUGCUAAAAAGAUGCAGGGCACUAAAAAUAGGAGAAUCGUACAAUAUAUCUCUGAAAUGGGUUAAAGAUUUAGUGACUGUUCUACCUCAAGGAAGUUUGAGUGAUUUCCACUAAACUUAUCAUCUGGAUCCCAAAAUGACAUCUAACGAGAAAGGAUGUUCAGAGAGACAGGGCCUGAGUGUCUGCAGCAGUGGCCAGAGGGUGACCAUUUAACUCUGUGCAAGCCAGGAGAUGGCCCUCAAGAUGCAACCUGGAAGAGAUGGGACUGGUUUUUCAAACAGGUCAGCCUCAUACCUCUCAUUCCUGUCUUCCUCGGACGGUGAUGGUGGCAGGUGGAGGAGGAGUACUCUGUCCUGCCGUCUGUCUGCAGAAACGAAACAUGCACCUGAACUUCACUACUGCAUGGAGAAAUCUGGGCUACAUGUUGGGCUACGUGCCCAGUAAGGGCUUGGCAUUACAUAAGGUCCAGAUAGUAAAAAACACCACAAUUUCCCCUCUCCACGUUGCUUUUGUCCAGAUUAUUUGCCUUUUUGAACUACAUAAUUAACUUUAAAGCAUUCUAUGGAAUUUAUUGUGGUUUUUGUAGUCCGUUGUUCUCAAAACCACAAUAAUUAAUGACCCAAGAAGGCAAAAGAGAGAAAACUGAAAAUUCAAUUUUCUUGUGCACCAUAAUGCUCUCCUCUGUCUGUGUGGUCUCCUUCCACUCAGCCUCCACCCAGGCAGCACACCACAGCGGGCCGCCGACAGUGGUGCCUCUUUCAGUUGUCACUCCAGGUCCCCCAGGCUUCCUCUCCAUGUGACUUGUCCUUGCUCUUUGAGCCCUGGCUCUUGGAUUCAUGGCUGCACACUUGCCAGGGACUUCCCUGGUCUGUGACCACUCCGACUUCCCUGUCGGCUUCUUGGACAGAAAGUUCCAGUCACCUCUGCUCACCUGCCUUCCCAUGUUGCCUAUGCAGAGGUCUCUGGGCCUGGUCUUGGCCCAGGGAAUACCACUCUCUGGGGUGAGGUGCAGGUCAGGAUGUGGUGGGACUCACUGUGUUACUGUUAUUUGUGACAUCAUUUAGAAAAAUACACAAGUCAGACUUGGAGCUUAUCAGCUUAGAACUGAUCCCAGAGACCUCUUACCUCUCCCUGCUGAAGUCCUUUACUCUAGUCACUCCAGCCUGCCUGCUGGAGUGUUCAUGUGCCGGCUCACUCUCACCACCGAGCCUUUGCAAGGAAACUCCCUACCCCAUUGCCACCCCGGGAGGUCCCCAACGCUGGGAAGGCCUGCUCGGUGGAGGGACAUCCCAUGGCCGCCAGACCAUGCAUUCAGGCUUGGGGGAUCUGAUGAAGGUGCUUGUGGUCCAGAAAGACUGACCACACAGUCUUUCUGAAUGUUUUUUAUUACUUCAUAUUAUGGGGGUACAGAUAUUGUUAGGGUUACAUAUCUUGCCCCUGCCCCCCACCCCCACCCCGCUAUGCCAGAGCUUCUAGCCUGUCCAGCCUCCAGGUGGUGCGAGCUCCCCUCCCUGCAGUCCAGUCCUUGCCAUGGGCAAAUACAUCCUAAACACUGUUUAUUUUCUCCAGUUUAAAAGUAGCUCCUUGUUGCUUCAGUUGUGGUUCAUGGGGAAGGGAGCAAAGUCUGGGGUCGAGUGUAUGGUGGGGAAUCCGGUCUCUUAGCAAGAGGGAGCUAAAGAUGAGCCACAAGAAUUGUUUCCAAAGUUUUUAGCCAUUGGCUGCGGAACUCUGAGGUCAGUGCUGAAUUAUUACGAAGGUUUGUGAAUCCAUGUGAAACAUUGC